ACAUCGAAGCCUCUAUGCAUUUGUGUGGAAGGCAAUGUGAUGUAAAGGUGUUCGUUUUCGCAGACUGGCUUACUUGAAGUCCAUAUUUGACUGUGGCUUGUGUAUAAUUAUACUCCCAGAGAUGGUGAAAGGCCAGUUCAAGUUGGUAAUUAGACCAGACUGUCUGCGUAUAUACGUUCACUGUUGAGUCGGAUUGCUUGAGAUUGCAGUCCAAAUAUGGUGGUAAACUCCAUCAAAGGCUAAAUACCUGUGUGAAUCCGAUAGUCAACAAGUACCGUGAGGGAAAGUUGAAAAGUACUCUGAAGAGAGAGUAAAUAGUGCGUGAAACUACAUGAAGGUUAAACGGAUAGAGUCCAACUGCGU
rnacentral:rRNA from 1 species